rnacentral:piRNA from 1 species
UAGGGUCAUUAAGAAAUAUCUAAUAAGCC